rnacentral:rRNA from 1 species
GUUGGUAAGGUAACGGCUUACCAAGGCGACGAUCAGUAGCCGACCUGAGAGGGUGAUCGGCCACAUUGGAACUGAGACACGGUCCAAACUCCUACGGGAGGCAGCAGUGGGGAAUAUUGCACAAUGGGCGAAAGCCUGAUGCAGCAACGCCGCGGGAGUGAUGAAGGCCUUCGGGUCGUAAAACUCUGUCCUCAAGGAAGAUAAUGACGGUACUUGAGGAGGAAGCCCCGGCUAACUACGUGCCAGCAGCCGCGGUAAUACGUAGGGGGCUAGCGAUAUCCGGA